UGGGGAAUAUUGGACAAUGGGCGAAAGCCUGAUCCAGCAAUGCCGCGUGGAUGAAGAAGGUCUUCGGAUUGUAAAGUCCUUUCGGCGGGGACGAUGAUGACGGUACCCGCAGAAGAAGCCCCGGCUAACUUCGUGCCAGCAGCCGCGGUAAUACGAAGGGGGCUAGCGUUGCUCGGAAUGACUGGGCGUAAAGGGCGCGUAGGCGGUUUGGACAGUUGGGCGUGAAAUUCCUGGGCUUAACCCGGGGGCUGCGCUCAAUACAUCCAGGCUUGAGUGAGGAAGAGGGUCGUGGAAUUCCCAGUGUAGAGGUGAAAUUCGUAGAUAUUGGGAAGAACACCGGUGGCGAAGGCGGCGACCUGGUCCUUUACUGACGCUGAGGCGCGAAAGCGUGGGGAGCAAACAGGAUUAGAUACCCUGGUAGUCCACGCCCUAAACGAUGCAUAUUUGGUGUAGGUCAUUCAGUUGAUCUGUGCCGGAGCUAACGCGUUAAAUAUGCCGCCUGGGGAGUACAGUCGCAAGGCUG
rnacentral:rRNA from 1 species